GACGAACGCUGGCGGCGCGCCUAACACAUGCAAGUCGAACGGAGUCAAGAGGAGCUUGCUUUUCUUGACUUAGUGGCGAACGGGUGAGUAACGCGUGAGUAACCUGCCCUGGAGUGGGGGACAACAGUUGGAAACGACUGCUAAUACCGCAUAAGCCCACGGAUCCGCAUGGAUCUGCGGGAAAAGGAUUUAUUCGCUUCAGGAUGGACUCGCGUCCAAUUAGCUAGUUGGUGAGGUAACGGCCCACCAAGGCGACGAUUGGUAGCCGGACUGAGAGGUUUAGCGGCCACAUUGGGACUGAGACACGGCCCAGACUCCUACGGGAGGCAGCAGUGGGGGAUAUUGCACAAUGGGGGAAACCCUGAUGCAGCGACGCCGCGUGGAGGAAGAAGGUUUUCGGAUUGUAAACUCCUGUCGUUAGGGACGAUAAUGACGGUACCUAACAAGAAAGCACCGGCUAACUACGUG
rnacentral:rRNA from 1 species